rnacentral:rRNA from 1 species
GAUGAACGCUGACAGAAUGCUUAACACAUGCAAGUCUACUUGAACUUCGGUUUGGAUGGCGGACGGGUGAGUAACGCGUAAAGAACUUGCCUCACAGUUAGGGACAACAUUUGGAAACGAAUGCUAAUACCUGAUAUUAUGAUUUUAGGGCAUCCUAGGAUUAUGAAAGCUAUAUGUGCUGUGAGAGAGCUUUGCGUCCCAUUAGCUAGUUGGAGAGGUAACGGCUCACCAAGGCGAUGAUGGGUAGCCGGCCUGAGAGGGUGAACGGCCACAAGGGGACUGAGACACGGCCCUUACUCCUACGGGAGGCAGCAGUGGGGAAUAUUGGACAAUGGACCAAAAGUCUGAUCCAGCAAUUCUGUGUGCACGAUGACGUUUUUCGGAAUGUAAAGUGCUUUCAGUUGGGAAGAAAAAAAUGACGGUACCAACAGAAGAAGUGACGGCUAAAUACGUG